rnacentral:rRNA from 1 species
CACGUAGGGGGCGAGCGUUGUCCGGAUUUAUUGGGCGUAAAGAGCUCGUAGGCGGUUCGAUAAGUCGGGUGUGAAACCUCCAGGCUCAACCUGGAGACGCCACCCGAUACUGUCGUGACUAGAGUCCAGUAGGGGAGCGUGGAAUUCCUGGUGUAGCGGUGAAAUGCGCAGAUAUCAGGAGGAACACCAGCGGCGAAGGCGGCGCUCUGGGCUGGCACUGACGCUGAGGAGCGAAAGCGUGGGGAGCGAACAGG